rnacentral:rRNA from 1 species
GACGGAAGGUGCAAGCGUUGCUCGGAAUCACUGGGCGUAAAGGGUGCGUAGGCGGCCGUGCAAGUCUGGCGUGAAAGCCCCGGGCUCAGCCCGGGAAGUGCGCUCGAAACUGCGCGGCUCGAGUGCCGGAGGGGAGAGUGGAAUUCCUGGUGUAGCGGUGAAAUGCGUAGAUAUCAGGAGGAAUACCGGUGGCGAAAGCGGCAUCCUGGACCGGCAUUGACACUGAGGAGCGAAAGCCAGGGGAGCAAACGGG